UUCUUGGAUCAUACUAUCCUGAGAGAACCUGAUCUUGUCUAAUAUUGGAAGCUAAGCAGCUUUAGGCCUUGUUAGUUCCUGAAUGAGAGAAAAGAAGGCUGGUCACUACC
rnacentral:rRNA from 1 species